rnacentral:rRNA from 1 species
UAAACAUAGACAGUUUAUACACCUAACUGUCCGCCCGGGAACUACGAGCGCUAGCUUAAAACCCAAAGGACUUGGCGGUGCUUUAGACCCACCUAGAGGAGCCUGUUCUAGAAUCGAUAACCCCCGUUCAACCUCACCCUUCCUUGCUCUUUCCGCCUAUAUACCACCGUCGUCAGUUUACCCUGUGAGGGUCGAACAGUAAGCACAAUUGGCUCACCCCUAAAACGUCAGGUCAAGGUGUAGCGAAUGGAAGGGAAAGAAAUGGGCUACAUUGCUUGACACCAAGGCAUACGAACUAUAUGUUGAAAUACAUAACUGAAGGAGGAUUUAGCAGUAAGCAGGAAAUAGAGUGUCCCGCUGAAAUCGGC